GGGCCCGCACAAGCGGUGGAGCAUGUGGUUUAAUUCGAUGAUACGCGAGGAACCUUACCAGGGCUUAAAUGUAGUAUGACCGGUCUAGAAAUAGGCCUUCCCUUCGGGGCAGAUUACAAGGUGCUGCAUGGUUGUCGUCAGCUCGUGCCGUGAGGUGUUAGGUUAAGUCCUGCAACGAGCGCAACCCCUAUUCUUAGUUGCCAGCGGUUCGGCCGGGGACUCUAAGAAGACUGCCAGCGCAAGCUGAGAGGAAGGUGGGGAUGACGUCAAGUCCUCAUGGCCCUUACGGGUUGGGCUACACACGUGCUACAAUGGUAGUGACAAUGGGUUAAUCCCAAAAAGCUAUCUCAGUUCGGAUUGGGGUCUGCAACUCGACCCCAUGAAGUCGGAAUCGCUAGUAAUCG
rnacentral:rRNA from 1 species